UAACGCGUGGGUAACCUGCCUUAUACAGGGGGAUAACAGUUAGAAAUGACUGCUAAUACCGCAUAAGCGCACAGGAUUGCAUGAUCUGGUGUGAAAAACUCCGGUGGUAUAAGAUGGACCCGCGUCUGAUUAGCUGGUUGGUGAGGUAACGGCCCACCAAGGCGACGAUCAGUAGCCGACCUGAGAGGGUGACCGGCCACAUUGGGACUGAGACACGGCCCAAACUCCUACGGGAGGCAGCAGUGGGGAAUAUUGCACAAUGGGGGAAACCCUGAUGCAGCGACGCCGCGUGAGCGAAGAAGUAUUUCGGUAUGUAAAGCUCUAUCAGCAGGGAAGAAAAAAAUGACGGUACCUGACUAAGAAGCCCCGGCUAACUACGUGCCAGCAGCCGCGGUAAUACGUAGGGGGCAAGCGUUAUCCGGAUUUACUGGGUGUAAAGGGAGCGCAGGCGGUGCGGCAAGUCUGAUGUGAAAGCCCGGGGCUCAACCCCGGGACUGCAUUGGAAACUGUCGUACUUGAGUAUCGGAGAGGUAAGUGGAAUUCCUAGUGUAGCGGUGAAAUGCGUAGAUAUUAGGAGGAACACCAGUGGCGAAGGCGGCUUACUGGACGAUAACUGACGCUGAGGCUCGAAAGCGUGGGGAGCAAACAGGAUUAGAUACCCUGGUAGUCCACGCCG
rnacentral:rRNA from 1 species